rnacentral:tRNA from 1 species
GCCUGAGUGGCUCAGUGGUUGAGCAUCUGCCUUCGGCUCAGGGCAUGAUCCAGGACCAUGGGAUCAAGUCCCACAUUGGGCU